rnacentral:rRNA from 1 species
GAGUUUGAUCCUGGCUCAGAGUGAACGCUGGCGGCAUGGUUAAGACAUGCAAGUCGAACGAGAAGCAAAACUUCGGUUUUGUGGACAGUGGCGAACGGGUGCGUAACACGUGAGCAACCUGCCCCUAAGUAUGGAAUAGCCCACCGAAAGGUGGAUUAAUACCGCAUGUGUCCCUUUUUCGCAUGGAGAAGUGGAUAAAGCUUGUAAUGGCGCUUAGGGAUGGGCUCGCGGCCUAUCAGCUUGUUGGUGAGGUAAAGGCUCACCAAGGCUAAGACGGGUAGCUGGUCUGAGAGGAUGAUCAGCUACACCGGGACUGAGACACGGCCCGGACACCUACGGGUGGCAGCAGUUUCGAAUCAUUCACAAUGGGCGAAAGCCUGAUGAUGCAAUGCCGCGUGGAGGAUGACGGCCCUAGGGUUGUAAACUCCUGUCAUUAGGGAACAACAAGUAGGUUCAUAGCCUACCCUGAGUUAACCUAAAGAGGAAGAGGUGGCUAACUCCGUGCCAGCAGCCGCGGUAAUACGGAGACCUCGAGCGUUACUCGGAUUUACUGGGCGUAAAGGGUGAGCAGGCGGCCAGGUGUGU